GACGAACGCUGGCGGCGUGCUUAACACAUGCAAGUCGAACGGAAAGGCCCUGCUUUUGUGGGGUGCUCGAGUGGCGAACGGGUGAGUAACACGUGAGUAACCUGCCCUUGACUUUGGGAUAACUUCAGGAAACUGGGGCUAAUACCGGAUAGGAGCUCCUGCUGCAUGGUGGGGGUUGGAAAGUUUCGGCGGUUGGGGAUGGACUCGCGGCUUAUCAGCUUGUUGGUGGGGUAGUGGCUUACCAAGGCUUUGACGGGUAGCCGGACUGAGAGGGUGACCGGCCACAAUGGGACUGUGAUACGGCCCAGACUCCUACGGGAGGCAGCAGUGGGGAAUAUUGCACAAUGGGCGGAAGCCUGAUGCAGCAACGCCGCGUGCGGGAUGACGGCGUUCGGUUUGUAAACCGCUUUCGCCUGUGACGAAGCGUUAGUGACGGUAAUGGGUAAAGAAGCACCGGCUAACUACGUG
rnacentral:rRNA from 1 species